rnacentral:rRNA from 1 species
GUGCCAUGGGGGAAACCUUGUUCCGCCCUGCCGCGUUGAGUUGAUGAAGGCCUUCGGGCCGUAAAGCUCUUUUGUGUGGGAAGAUAAUGACUGUACCACAAGAAUAAGCCCCGGCUAACUCCGUGCCAGCAGCCGCGGUAAUACGAAGGGGGCUAGCGUUGUUCGGAAUCACUGGGCGUAAAGGGUGCGUAGGUGGUUAUGUAAGCCAGAAGUGAAAGCCCUGGGCUCAACCCGGGAAUCGCUUUUGAAACUAUGUAGCUAGAGUUCGAGAGAGGUAAGUGGAAUAUCCAGUGUAGAGGUAAAAUCCGUAGAUAUUGGAUGGAACACCAGUGGCGAAGGCGGCUUACUGGCUCGAUACUGACACUGAGGCACGAAA